CAGGCGAGAAGUGCAAGUGGAUGGGCUCAGCUGAAGCGGGGGCAGCCCUUCCUCCCUUCAAACCUCAUCCUCACUCAGCCUGGGAGAAGAGGGGAGGAAUGAGGGGUCCAUUCCUCCAUGACAGCCUUCCGGUGGAGGAAUGAGGGGUCACUACUCCCAGAAGUGGAAAAUCUCAGUAAAAAUGUCUGUCACACAAUGCAAGAGUGUGAAAUCUUUCCCUGCAGAGCAGUAGGAGUUUGCCUGGAAGACAUAAAGUCACCAGGCCAUGCUUCAGCCCCGCUGAAAUCUCCAUGCUGCACAUUUGUUUUGCAGCACAUGCCCUUCUACCGCCCUGCCUGGGCUGUGCUGAGCUCACACAAAGCCAAGAGCUGCACAGCUGGGAGCCAAGCAUCCCCGAAUUCGUGCUGCAAUCUCAGCAUCUCCCAGAAGUAUUGCUGGAGUCGCCAGGACCAGCACCCAGUGCACCGGUGCCAUUCCUCCCUCUCCCUGGGCUGCAGCCAGAGGGGCUGGCUGUCCCUUCAGCACAGCUCAGACCCAGCCCAGGCUGCCACACCAGUGACCAGAGCUGGGCAGACAGCGGGACCUGGCCAAGGUGACCAGAAAAACCCUGCACUCCUCACACCUGAGCAGCCCAGCGCCCACCAAGACCCUCCGAUACCUGUUGACCUUCUGUCUCAGCAAAGAAAGCGAUCAACCUCUCUGGAACAGCUUUUCUGUCAAAAAAAGAGAGCUGGGAAAUACUCUGAGCCACGAGGUCCAUUUUACAAUUCACAUACUAUCACUGCAUUUAAAUACAUCUGUCUUAGAAAGCCCAGAUUUGAUACUGAAAUUUGAGAAAGUCAGCUACGGCAUGGGGCACAGACUGGUGUGUGCUGGGGUCUGUCCUCGGCUGGACAGAACAAAAUUAAGUGAGCUGGGACUGCCAUUUGCCUGGCUGAUGCUUGAGUCUCUAGGCUCCUCUUAAACAAAAUGAUUUAAAUUUGCUAAAUCAGAGCUUCAGAUCAGCAUGUGAUGUUUGCAUCAUAUAUGUCACCAUUUUUACACUAGAGUCUUACAUGUGAUUAAAGAGAGUAUGAUUAUAUAUAACCUUCAACGGGGUAAAAAAAUGCUAAAAUUCCUUAUUUUUAAAAAAGUAUAUGUAGAGCAAAAUAGACAAACUUCAGAACAAAUCAAACAUUUAUCCUUUGCCACUUCAGCAAAUCCUGCUGCUUUAUUGAUGAGCCAGAGCCAUGACAGGGAGCAAACACGGACAUGCACUCACCUAACUCGUUGGAGUCAGAAUUCCUUUUGCAGUUUUAAAUUGCAGAUGGUGUUUCAGGAUGUCAGAGUGAGCAGCAGGAGACCUGCACUGAAAUCUCUGUCAGCUUUGUGACCAGUAGAUCUCCCCAGCAGCUGCUACUGGGAUGUCUAAUUGCUCAAAUUUAUAGAAAGGGUCUUGUCAAUCAAGGCAGAUCCUUACUUGAACCACCCAAGGCAUCAAAGCCAUUGACUGUAAAGCAAGGCUCCCCUUUCCAGCAGUGAUUAGCUUCAAGGGAAUUAUUGUUAUUGCAGUUUAUUGUUUCAUAACCUGAUCAAAAAAGGAGUAUCUCGGUGAGUGAAAUUAUGAGCAUGCACUGGGGCAAAAUGGAUCUUCUUUUCCAUAAUGGAAUAUCAACACCUUUGUGAAGAAAUUGGAAGCUGGCUCUGAAAUUAUCAUUACCCCUAUAAUUAACAAGCCCUAAGUAAACAUCCUCAAGGGAAACUUCUCAGAUACUUGUACAAAAAAUUGCCUGGAUUUUGUCAGCUGCAGAAGAUCUUUUUUACGUGAUUUCUCUGUACAAGAAAGGACAAGAGAUGGGGGGAGGAGGUGAGAGCUUGUAAGGAAAGAAAGUGUUCUCUUGGCAAGCCAGGCAGCUGAAACACAGGUGAGCUCCACUGUGAAAGGAAAUUUAGAAAUCACUGUCCACUCUCUUCACUGUGCAAACCCAGUUCUCAGCUGUCCACAGGACAGGGAGCAGAUGAGGAACUUGGUUCUGUGAAAAACUUGCUGGUCAGGGAGUUCAUAAAAGAUGAAUGGGAGAAAGAAGUGCAGCCAUAAGCUCAGUGGCCUGGAGAAAGCCAGCUGCCUUCCUUUCCACCAGUGACCUCCCAGCUCCAGGACCCAGAACAAUCCAGAACAGACAGGGCAAGUGUCAGGGAUUAUGGAGCUCUCAGGAUGAUGCUGUCAGAGGUCAGAGGCAGCCACAGAAUUACAACCCAGCCAUGAGAACAGAAAACACAGGGGAAACCUUGAUUCAAAUAAAGGCCAUGCUACAAUGGACAAAAUAAAAUAAAAUAGACAAAAACAAAAUAAGUAGAAAUCAAAAAAAAAAAAAAAAAGAAUAGAGGGGAAAAAAAACCACAACAACCAAGGAAAACAGCAUCUGUUGAUGUUCAGAACAUGCAUCUUAUCAAAUAUGAAGCAGUGAUUACUAUGAGCUGGUUAAUUUACCUCACAAAUAUUCCAUACAUACUUCUGAUGGAUUACAUUCAGAUUUUCUGUAGUGUGAGCUAUGGAAAAGAGCAAAUUGACAUUGAGGAAAAGAGAUGUUAUUUACUCUCAAGGUCUACCUUUUCUGUCUAAAUUAGGAAACAGUGUUUGGAACAAGUGAAAGAGGGAAGGGACUGUUUGGAAAGCAGAAAAGCAGCAGGCAUUUAGUGUUGUUGCCAUAUUACCAUCUGACAUGGGAAGGAGCUGCUUCAAAUAGUUAAUUCACUUAACAGACACUAAAAGAAUAAUAAAAAUAAAAGAAAGAACAGAAUUUUUAAUAAAAAAUUUGAAAAGUUAGGAGGCAGGGGUUGUUUAAAAUCUACCCCAGUAUUCUUCCUCAUUAUUGUUCCCAGUCUCACUGGCAGUAAAUGACUCCAGAGUCAAGUGAAGGGGGAUCAGGUGAGAUUUUGGAGGUGGAAUGUUGAAUGGAGGUGUUGUAAAUGUCUCCAUCAGAUCACCAGACAAUGUCCUAGACACCUUUUUCCCCCAUUGAAACCAGUGAGAAAAUCAGGAAAUUCAAAGACAAAUGAGAUCACAAGAAGUCAAGAGGAUCAGCCCAAGUCCUGUCACUGAUCUAAAAUGAUCACUUUCCACUAAAAUAACCCUAAAACUACUUUUCUGUAAUUUCCACUGAACAAAAAUAAAGCUAGAAAAUGAACUUUUAAAGCUUUUUCAAAAAUAUACAGUUUAAAAGUUCCUGACUUAUGGGGAAAGCAUGUAAAAAUACUGAGCUUAAGUCCCCUUUAUUUGAUGCUGGAAAUGUACCAGCAAACAUCAGCCCAAGAUUAGAGGCAGGUACAGGAAAUACGUGCCAGAUGGCAGAUGAACCAGCUUUGACAGAUCCCUCUUCUUCUAUGGAUUAAAAACCCAGGUGCUGGAGUUUUUGUGUAAUUCAGCUUGGUUUCAGUGACUCCAGCUAAGAUCCUGUUCUCUCAUCUCCAUUUGUACUGAACGGCCUCUUAGGGUGAAACAAAAGAGAAAUUGCAGACUCUCACUUAUUCUGUCUCUAGAAAAUCCUGUCUGCUUGUGGGACAGGCACCAAUUCCUGAAGGAUUUGCAUUGUGUUGUGUGAAAAGCCUGAGUGCUGACUUUUCCCACGCAGAGUUUUUGCUGUCUUACUGUUCUGUGAGUUUAUCUCAUUUAAGUUAAUCAAUAAAUACACCAGUGGGAUCUCAAAUCGGGUUGAUCAUGAGAAAGGAGCUGAGAUGAGCUAUUUAAUGAGAGUGACCAAGGGAAAUGCCAAUGCUGAGUGGCUGCACACAGUAAGCACUGCACAGAGCCUUGUAGGCCAGAAGAAGCUGGUGACCAUUCGGGUCAGAAAAGUCAGUGACUGGACAGGAGAUAUUUAAUGCACUGCCCACAGCAGGGGUUUGGAAAGGUGGGUGUUAGUUCAGAGGUAAGACAGAAGGAGAAAUGGGUGAGGAAUCAAGGUAGUGUGGGAUGGCUGGCCAAGUUCACAGGAGGUGGCACCCAUAAGAGAUUAGGGUUCAGUUUAGAAGAGAGUGAAUCAUAAAUAUAUCAGUUAGGAUACACAGCCAUAAAUGUUGUAUGUAAUUUGAUGAACUCACGGGGAAAAAAAAGCAUUUGAAUCACUUUUCCCUAUACAAGUUAACAUCAGAUUUUAUGUCAAUAGGUUGUUUACUCUUUUCUGGUAGUUUUGAAAAAAAGAUAACCUUUAUGUCCUGAAAACAGCAUUUCAAACAAGUGCAUUAAGAUUGUUUAAUCCAUCCCCACAGCUACCGUGUGUUUGUCUUGGAGAGUGACUUUCUGUCAUUUUCUACAUUUUGAAAGAAUGCAAAGAGUUGGUUUGGAAAGGGACAGACAAAGCAGGUUUAACCUUGAGAGGGCACAGCUGAUCUGUAAAUGAAAAUCAAAGGCAGCAAGUAAAGCUCCUUGAAAGGCUCUGACAGAAACACUGCCAAGUGCAAGCACAGGGAGCAAAAUGCAGCCAUCAGGAAAUGUGUUCCCGAGCAGGAAUGAGAUAAAUGUGGGCUCUCCCUGCUAACAAUGGGACACCAGUCCCCGCUGAAGGUCUCGGGCACACAAAGCCACUUCUGCUUUAAAAGACUUUCUGCUCAUUUUGCUUCCUGGGCUUAACACAACACGAGCUGGCAGCGGCUGAAUGAGCAUUAGGAGAAGAAUGUAGUCAGGAAAGAGGAUUUCUUGAGGCUGCUGUGGCAGUAAAUCACACCACACUCAGUACUCGGGGGAGUGAGCCCUCUUACAGAGGAGAUAAACACUUCUUGCAGCCUGUGGGGGUACCUGUGUUAGGAAUGGCAGAGCAGCCCCGUGAGCACACCUGUAAAAUCCAGCCCUGCAGAUCUGAAAUGCUGGGGGAAAGCUCUGUGCUGACUGCAGCAGAAUCCCAGCUGUUUCAGCACAGACACUGCCUCAGCAGCACGCUGUUAUGAGGAAUCUGUCAGACACUAUUCUUCUCUUCCUUUUCCAUCAGACUUGGAAAAUGAAGUCCAAGGGUGAGGCUUAACAGUAACAAAAAAAGCUAAUCCACAGUUUGCUUGAGGCACAUCUAUCCCGGGGAGAUAACACUCUUCUGCUAAACAAGUCCUGCUGCUAUGAUGGAUUCAAUCCAGAAGAGAACUGAUGAAGAUCCUACAGACACUACAAGAGCUGAAGCUUCUGAAAUUUGGUAGUGCACAUCUCUAACAUACAGAUAACAUUCCUUACAUUUGAUACCUGCAGAUGGGCACCGGAUUGCUCCAAUGCUGAAAAGGCUCAAGAACUUUAGAUGGGAAGAGGUGGGAAAAAAAAGCCAAGCACCUGGAAAACACUUCAUUGCUUCUUUAUUUAGAUGCACCCACAGUACAGAGCCUCUUGAGCAUGUGCAAAAGAGGAAGAUAACACAUUUAUAGCUGGGAGCACCAUUGAGUUUGAGUUUCUUUGAUACCACUUUUAAGAAAGUAAACUGUUUCCAAAGAAUGACAUUUGAAUCCAAGAGUUUAAGACCUGCUUGUACUUUAUCCAGAGGUGGAAGAUAUUUUUAUUAUUACUUGGAUGUAGAGUAGAAGACAUUUUCACAGUCUGGUUGGACCAGUAUUUUCAUAUGCACCUUUUAAUAGAUAUUUAAAAAGUUUCAUUUCCCCCGCCCCUACCCACAGAAAGUUAAAUGCACCCAAGUUUAAAAACAGUAAUGGGACCAGAGCAUUCCUAUGGGGAAAAAUGAACUUUUGCUGCCCUCUCCUGCUUAAACAAUGAAAUGCUAAAAUAUUAAGAUCUAUGAAUCUAAUGCUAACCUUGAAACAAAAAGCGUGACAGGUCAUUCGCUAUACUACAAUCAAAAAUAGGACAACAACAAGAAAUGUAUUGGUACUAUUUAUAUUUGAAAACUCCUCAUGGCUCCAUGAGGUUAUGAAUACAACAUAUUUACAGCACGUGAUCCAGGUAACAAAAACACUUACUCACAGAGGUCGUGAUAAAAAGCACACGCUUCUGUGGAUGGGAAGCAACACUUGGAUAAAAGUUUUCAUCCGAAAGUAGCUCCAUCCUCUUUCAAGAUGCUGUUUCAUAGAGUUCAAAAUGGAAAACUGGGCUACAUAAAAUGCUGCACAUACCAACUAGGAAGAACUAAUUAAUGGCUCACUCCAGAGCUGCUAAGGGAAGCACAGGAGCCAAAUUAAAAAAGCUGUAAGUAAAUAAAAACAUUCUUCAACCUUGAGCAUCAUCGCCUUUGUCUUCUUUUUAAGGGCAAUUGCUUUGGGAUAGUGGUGUCACACAAUUAAGAGAAAAGGGCAUCUUUGUUUUCUAAGACACAACUAAAAGGAAAUUAUGUCAGUUUUACUUGGAGGGAGAAUAAUCUCAUCUUUCCCACUCCUCAGAAAACAAUAAAGAGCUUUUUAGAGCUCCUAAUGUAUUUUCUUUUCCAUCAAGUGAGAGAGCCUGAGGCUGUAGUUAAGCACCUAUAAUGCAAGUACAGCUGCUGCAUUUCUUACUCAAGCAAUUUUUGGCUCCAACACCCUCGAUUUUUCCAUAUAUGAGAACAGAUAAAAAAAUAAAUUAAACCCUUUUACUUAUGCUAACAAAACCAAGAUUAAAUUUACUGUAACCCUGCAAGCAAACGCUCCAAUGGCAUUAGAAUACCUUUAUUUAAAGCAUUCCAACCUCUGGAAAAGAGACAAAACCACUCGAAAGCAACAAAAGGAAAACAGUAAGGGAGACGUGCAAGAUGAAGAAAGCAACAUGUGGUCAAUUCAGAGUGCAUGAGAGGAACUUUACUUGUACAGUUGUUACAUCCCCAUGACCCAAUGCCCUCGCAGCUCCUUCCUGUGAGUGCUCAACCCUUCCCCUGAGACCAAUGUGGCCCAGGGCACGCAGACCCCCCAGUGCCUGCCGGACGAGCAGUCGAGAACAACACUGACACCAACAAAGGUGGCUUGUGGAACUCAAGAAUCAAACAAAAGUGUAAUUUAUGAUGCACUGAUCACACUUGGGCCCAUGGGCUGCCUUCCUCUUCCUCCUGCUGCUGCAGCUCCAGCUCCAGCAGCAGCGGGAGCCCUGCGGGGCCGGACACGGCGCUGGGGCUGCGGCACACGCGGGGUCCUGGCAGCAGCUGCUUCUUCAGGUGCAUCACCCAGCCUUUAGAGUCAAGUGACUUCAUAACAACAGCACAGCAUCUCCUUCUCCUCGAAGGAACACUCCUUCCCAGAAGUGAUAAAUCAUUUAUAAACGUCAGACACUCCCCGCUGUCCCCGUGGCAGAGGCCAGGAAAUAUUGCAACCCACACCAGGUUCUGGUCAGUUCUGUAUGAUCAAUAGGAGAAUGACAUGGCAAAACCAAAAAUAGUUAUGAACAAACAACACUCACCUAAACUCUAAGUACAGGACAAGGUGCUUUUUCUAAUUUUCACAUUGUUGUGUUUGACUCCACCAGGUGAAGAACAUCAAGUUUUAUUCCUCCAUUCUUUCUCAGUUUUUCACAAUGGAACAUAGUCUUUGAGCAUGAGUUUGAGUCCACCCUCUUGUACUGUGAAAUGAUCAUUUCACACAGAAAUCACACUAGCAAGUUUGGUUUUUUGGUAACAGAAAUAAAAGACUGUCAAAAUCAAUGGGCUAAGGGACAUGAUUUGUUAUAAAUUUAUUUAAUCUUCAGUAUUUCAGCUUGCACCUUUGCUUCAGCACUUUAAAAUAAAAUGUUUCAACUAUGACAGUAACUGCCUAAUUUACAUUGAGUCCCAGUCAAUGUUCUUAAAAGAAGCUCAUAAUAAUCCCAUUAAAUCAUGUCGUGUUUGGUGUUGCAUAUGACUAGUUCCACUUUUUUUUUUUUUCCAGAAUUAACAGUGUCAAGUUCUUACAAAGCCUUGAGUUUACAACAUUUGUGUGUGCAGACCCAGGAGUACAAACUGUGACCUGAUAAUCCUGAAACAGUCAGUAGUCUAGGAGGGAAUUCUUUUUUACUUUUUUUUCCGUGCCUGAAAACAAGAAAACUUCAAAGUCUACUGUAUAUUUAAAUGGUAGGAAGAAAAAUAUACAAGCUUGUAUUUAUACUGUAUUUCUAUCAAUGGCAACAGGUCAUAAAUUCAUGUUUGCAACUAUCACAAAGACUCAUGAACACCAAUUCAUUUUUAUACUGUAAAUACUGCUGGAUUGAUGGUUUAGGAUUAUCAAUUCACUGUUGUCAUAUGUCUAUAACAGUUCAAAAGCAUCCUGGAGAAAAAUCCUGAAACACAUACCUUCCGGUAUAGAAUAAUGCAACUGCAUUAGCUAAAUAUAUACUGUACAGAAGUCUUAUCAGCAUUUUACCUACCAAAGAUGUAAGAUUCCACUUUCAAAUACAAAGCAGAUAGCCAAUAAUGUAUACUUAUAAUACAGCCCUCUUCUUUGUUUUUGUAUUUUUUUUCCUCUUUUGUUUUAAACAAUUUGGUCACAAUGCACCUUUGAUAUAAAAGCAUUUUAAACUUUAUUAUUAAUACUCAGAACAUUAGGAUUUCCAGAAUUUUUUUUUUUCAGUAGCAUUUGUAGAACCACUUUUGGUAACAAAUACAGUAGUUAGGAAUGAGCAUCCAGAUGAGAAUGCAGAAGUGUAUUAUCCAGAAUCCUUUCCAGCUACGACCAUAGGGCUGGUACUGUGAUGUGUAAUAGUACUAGAACCACAAAAACACUAGAGUAUGUUUCUUAGAGGCUACAUCCUCUUUUGCUGGAACACUUUAUAAAUACAUAUUAAAAAGUAAGGCAACAACUCCAAACUGUCCAAACUGCCAUCUCAACUCAAGUUCCAAUUAGAUCCAUGACCACUGGAGAUCAAUUUCAUGCUUGUGUUGUUCAGCAUGUGUCUUUAUUCUUUCAGAAUGGUCCAAUAAGAACAUACUGUAAUAAUUUAGCAAUUGGUGUUUCUAAACCAACUCUGGUACAUGUGUCCAGUGCUGCAUCACUAAUACUGGUUAGGUAUUGAAGUCCAGGGUGUUACCACUGCCCCUUUUUUUUUUCCAUGGAUUGUGGACACUAAUUUGGAUUUGCAAUAAAUAGGUGCACGAAUCCAAAGCUCCCUUUCCUACUAUGUUUAUCACCUACUUUUUUUUUAAUUCCUAAUGUUCAAAUUAAGGAAGCACCAGAGACAGCCUGGUACUAAAAAAAUGCUCACACCAGUAAACAAAACUUUUAUUCAGGACCGAUGUUUUUCAUGGCCCUGAUCUGAAUGGACAUUCAACUUAUGAAGAUAUGCAAAAGGAAAAGAAAGUCAAAUUACAGUAAAGUUAUCCAGAGAAGGAGGAUGUUACACAAACUCAUAAGGAAA